AUUGAACGCUGGCGGCAGGCCUAACACAUGCAAGUCGAACGGUAACAGGAAACAGCUUGCUGUUUCGCUGACGAGUGGCGGACGGGUGAGUAAUGUCUGGGAAACUGCCUGAUGGAGGGGGAUAACUACUGGAAACGGUAGCUAAUACCGCAUAACGUCGCAAGACCAAAGAGGGGGACCUUCGGGCCUCUUGCCAUCGGAUGUGCCCAGAUGGGAUUAGCUAGUAGGUGGGGUAACGGCUCACCUAGGCGACGAUCCCUAGGUGGUCUGAGAGGAUGACCAGCCACACUGGAACUGAGACACGGUCCAGACUCCUACGGGAGGCAGCAGUGGGGAAUAUUGCACAAUGGGCGCAAGCCUGAUGCAGUCAUGCCGCGUGUAUGAAGAAGGCCUUCGGGUUGUAAAGUACUUUCAGCGGGGAGGAAGGGAGUAAAGUUAAUACCUUUGCUCAUUGACGUUACCCGCAGAAGAAGCACCGGCUAACUCCGUGCCAGCAGCCGCCGUAA
rnacentral:rRNA from 1 species